rnacentral:rRNA from 1 species
GACGAACGCUUGCGACGUGCCUAAGAAAUGCAAGUCGAGCGGGGAGCAAUCCCAGCGGCGAACGGUCGCGUAACACGUAAGCAACCUGCCCCCAAGACCGGGACAACGUUCCGAAAGGAGCGCUAAUACCGGAUGUGCCCGUCGGGUGACAUCGCCUGGCGAGUAAAGCAAGCAAUUGGCUUAGGGAGGGGCUUGCGGCCUAUCAGCUAGAUGGUGGGGUAACGGCCUACCAUGGCGACGACGGGUAGCUGGUCUGAGAGGAUGGUCAGCCGGAUUG